rnacentral:rRNA from 1 species
GAUGAACGCUGGCGGCGUGCCUAAUACAUGCAAGUCGAGCGAAGCGGGGACGGGUGAGUAACACGUGGAUAACCUCCUAUAAGACUGGGAUAACUUCGGGAAACCGGAGCUAAACCGGAUACUUAUAGAUGGAUCCGCGCUGCAUUAGCUAGUUGGUAAGGUAACGGCUUACAAAGGCAACGAUGCAUAGCCGACCUGAGAGAGUGUGCGGCAAAACGGGAACUGGAACACGUUCAGGACUCCUACGGGGGGCAGCAGGAGGGAAUCUUCCGCAAUGGGCGAAAGCCUGACGAGGCAACGCCGGGUGAGGAAUAAGGGUCUUGGGUUCGUAAAUCUCUUUUGUUAGGGAAACGGUACCUAAUCAGAAGGCCACGGCUAACUACGUGCCAGCAGCCCGGUAAUAC